GACGAACUGUCCAAACGUUGUUCGGAAUCACUGGGCUUAAAGGGCGCGUAGGCGGUCGAUCAAGUCAGGGGUGAAAUCCUGCAGCUUAACUGUAGAAGUGCCUUUGAUACUGGUCGUCUCGAGGGAGGUAGGGGUGUGUGGAACUUCCAGUGGAGCGGUGAAAUGCGUUGAUAUUGGAAGGAACGCCGGAGGCGAAAGCGACGCACUGGACCUCUUCUGACGCUGAGGCGCGAAAGCUAGGGGAGCAAACGGG
rnacentral:rRNA from 3 species